rnacentral:misc_RNA from 1 species
UUAUGGAUCUCCGUUGCCUCGCCGUUGGCGAGAUCCGCUUCGGGAUCGCUGCCGAUCCGGUCUUCAGCCGCGCCAUUUGACGGAUCUGUUGCUGGAGCGUUUCCGAUAUCGGGUUCGGUUCGAUUGUCGUCGUUCGAGGGGGGCGAUUCGGCUGCGGUGCCGUUCGGAAGCGGCGGUGACUCGGCAUUCGCUGGUCCUGGUGACUCCAUCGUCGGAGA